rnacentral:rRNA from 1 species
CGCUGGCGGCACGCCUAACACAUGCAAGUCGAACGAAGUAGCAAUACUUAGUGGCAGACGGGUGAGUAACAUGUAGGUAUCUACCCUAUGGCCUGGAAUAACACGAGGAAACUUGUGCUAAUACCGGAUAAGUCUUAACGGAGAAAGCUUUAUGCACCAUUGGAUGAGCCUGCACUUGAUUAGUUUGUUGGUGGGGUAAUGGCCCACCAAGACUUUGAUCAAUAGCUGAUUUGAGAGGAUGAUCAGCCACAUUGGGACUGAGACACGGCCCAAACUCCUACGGGAGGCAGCAGUGGGGAAUCUUGCACAAUGGAGGAAACUCUGAUGCAGCGAUGCCGCGUGAGUGAAGAAGGCCCUUGGGUUGUAAAGCUCUUUCGUCGGGGAAGAAAAUGACUGUACCCGAAUAAGAAGGUCCGGCUAACUUCGUGCCAGCAGCCGCGGUAAUACGAAGGGACCUAGCGUAGUUCGGAAUUACUGGGCUUAAAGAGUUCGUAGGUGGUUGAAAAAGUUGGUGGUGAAAUCCCAGAGCUUAACUCUGGAACUGCCAUCAAAACUUUUCAGCUAGAGUUUGAUAGAGGAAAGCAGAAUUUCUAGUGUAGAGGUGAAAUUCGUAGAUAUUAGAAAGAAUACCAAUUGCGAAGGCAGCUUUCUGGAUCAUUACUGACACUGAGGAACGAAAGCAUGGGUAGCGAAGAGGAUUAGAUACCCUCGUAGUCCAUGCCGUAAACGAUGUGUGUUAGACGUUGGAAAUUUAUUUUCAGUGUCGCAGCGAAAGCGAUAAACACACCGCCUGGGGAGUACGACC